ACACUUGACGCAGUUCACACACUCUGCCUACUGCACAUGCGCAAUCUCAUAAAUGAAUCCGACUUUAAUCAACUUAAUUAAGAUCUAUCAUCAAAUUAUUCGAAUUUUUGGAGGCCGGGGUGGAGUGCAUGAGCCGCGGUCAGACAGUCACCAAUCACCGGGCGGCUAAAUGGAUCGACGGAGGAUAAAACCAUUAAAAGAUGCGGAGAAACACAUCACCAGCUCCACUGACAAGACCCAUUCACUGGAAACCGAAUAUAUAGAAGGUUACUAAGUUUUGCAGCAUUGAUGCCGAUCAUGAGGACGAUCUGCACCCUAACUGCACUGUCAAUAAGAUCGUUGUUCAGAGAAAACCUCAUUUGUGCCUUUUUGCAAUCAGGGAUAUUUUCUUUGGAGAGGAAAUAACGUUUGACUAUGGCGCAUGUGAUUGGCCUUGGAGAAAGCUUUCAUUGAAGGAUGCCCAUAUGACUGCAGAAGAAAACUGCUCCGACAACUCUCUGAUGAGCUUAUAUUGAAGGAUGACCAUAUGACAGAGGAAGAGAACUGCUCUGCUCCAGUACGUGACCCACAACUCUGAUGAG
ensembl:processed_transcript